rnacentral:lncRNA from 1 species
UGUCCUAUCUUUUCUUUCUUUCUUUCUUUCCUCCCUCCCUUUCCUCUCAUCUCUCCUUCCUUCCUUCCUAUCUUUUCCUUCCUUCCUUGUUUUCUCCCUGUUCUUCCUUCCUUCCUUGUUUUCUCCUUGUCCUUCCUUCCUUCCUAUAUUUUUUUUUCUUUCCUUCCUUCCUAUCUUUUCUUUCCUCCUUUCCUCCUCUUUCCUCUCCUCUCUCCUUUCUUCCUUUCCUUCCUUCUGUCCUAUCUUUUCUUUCUUUCUUUCCUCCCUUCCUUUCCUCUCAUCUCUCCUUCCUUCCUUCCUCUCUUUUCCUUCCUAUCUUUUCCUUCCUAUCUUUUCUUUCCUCCUUUCCUCCUCUUUCCUCUCCUCUCUCCUUUCAUUCCUUCCGUCCUGUCUUUUCUUUCCUCCCUUCCUUCUUUCCUCUCCUCUCUCCUUUUUGCCUUCCUUCCUUCCUAUCUUCUUUCUUUCCUCCUUUCCUCCUCUUUCCUCUCCUCUCUCUUUCUUUCCUCCCUUCCUUCCUAGAGGAGUUGUCUGGGGAGGGGAUCCUUGCACUGCCACUCUGGGAAGUUGUGAUUUUGGGAGGCCUCUGGCUGCCCCCUACCAGGACCCCUGCAUGGCGAGGGUGGGAUAAGCAAGGCGGCAGAGUCAGGCGAAGGGCCGGAGGCACCCUUCCUUUGUCCCUGGGAGAGUUUCCCCACCCCCACCAGCCCGACCUGCGAUUUCUCCCUCGGGUCCAGUGCAGAGGGAAGGGCAGCCAGGAGACCUGCUAAAUGCACUGCAGGCGAGCGAGGCAGAAUGGCCGGAUGUUCUCUAGACAUCGUGUUGAUUUCAGUUUUAUCUGCAGGUACGCCUGUCGUGUGUGGGUUGGAGAAUUGCUUUUAUUCAUACAAAGGCCACAGGGCUCUCACGGCCUCCCUCCCUGGGCAACUCUAGAAACGCGUUGGCAGCCAAAGAGGGCGAGAGAGUUGCACGGAGGGGUCAAAAGAUCGGCCUCCGGGGGGUAGCGAAGGAGAGGGUGGCGGGCAUCAGGUGUAUGGAUUUCUUUCCUGCAGCCGAUCAACCCAAGAGGGGAAUUCCUUUGGGAUGAGCGAGGUUCGUUUCCACAGCAGAUGCUUCACUGACUCUGAGGAACACCUUCCGCCUUGAGGUCCCAGCCCCCCCCCACAAGAAGUGGUCGUGUGUGUAUGUNNNNNNNNNNNNNNNNNNNNNNNNNNNNNNCUGUACCAAUAGCGGGGGGGGGGCUUCUUUCCAUCUCUCCUGUUCUGAUCUGAUGACCCAAGACUUGUAAUAGGGACCUGUUUCGAAUUCCUCCCUUCUAGGUAAGAGCUUGGUUUUUUGUAAUUAACUGAUAAGAUUCAAGUGGUGGCUUUUGAUUGUUUUCUUGAGUGAAUGGGGAAAGGGGGGGAGUUAAUUAAAAAAAAUCUUUCUCUGAUUCUUCUUGCCUUUUUUUCCCCCUUGAAUUUCUUGGCCCUAAUGUUGCUUUCUUAACAAUAAAGCCUAUUGAAACAAGGUGUGAUCCA